rnacentral:rRNA from 1 species
GGGUGCUACAAUACCAGCACUAACGCACCGAAUCCCAUCAGAACUUCGAAGUUAAGCGUGCUUAGGCGAGAGUAGUACUCGGAAGGGUAACCCCCUGGGAAGUCCUUGUGUUGCACCCC